rnacentral:rRNA from 1 species
UACGUAAGGGGCAAGCGUUGUCCGGAAUCACUGGGCGUAAAGCGCACGUAGGCGGUUUGUCAAGUUGGGGGUGUAAGCUCUGGGCCUAACCCAGAAAUUGCCUCCAAAACUAGCAUACUUGAGUAUUAGAGGGGAAGCUGGAAUUCACGGUGUAGCGGUGAAAUGCGUAGAUAUCGUGGAGAACACCCGUGGCGAAGGCGGGCUUCUGGCUAAUUACUGACGCUGAGGUGCGAAAGCUAGGGGAGCGAACGGGAUUAGAAACCCCUGUAGU